CUAGUAACUCCAGGUAGCAGCAAACCUCAGUUCUUAAAACUAAUUCAUGUCUGCAUUACUGUCUUUCUGUCCCUUUGCAAAAACCUGUAGCUUUGCCGAAUUGUUACUUAAUUCUAAGCCAUUUUUUUUUCCUUUAAAAACCUUCAUAGGCGGUUAACUGAAAAGAAGACACUAAACCAGGCAUUUCUGUGCUUCUGAGGAGUUUCAUGUAGAAUAGUGAAGGGGAAGGGAUUCUGGCUCUUCAGGACAUACACACACACACACACACUCUCUCUCACACUCACUCGUGUUUAUAGCAGUCUGUGGGAACCUGUUGAACAGGAGUAAAAAGUAUUACUUGAUUAUGCCGUGGUCAGAAAAUUAAAUAAUGAAGCGUUACUUGCUACAGAUCAACCUUUAGCCCCUUGCUCUGCUCUCCUGGCUGACUGCUUAUCAUUCCACGCCAGCCGCAGCAGCUCCCGGGCUGCAGGCAGGCCUGCUGGAGUACCCCACCCUGGUGUUUAGAAGUGUUGAGUUAAACUCAGGGAAUCUGAAAGUCCCAAGGUCAUCUCUGCACCAGAACAGGUUUGCAUAAAAUUCUAGCCACACCAGUGAGAUAACGAGGUGGCGACUGUUUGAAUCUGAUCCUGCCUUAGUGGUUAUCCCAUUUUACAAUAAUACAUGAUACAGAUUUGCUUUUCAGAUUUCUUUCCUUCUUCGAGGAGGGAACCUCCAUGUACGUGUGUACUUCUGUGUCUUCCCUGCUGUCAAAGAAAACCGAUCUGGCAGAGGAAUUUGAGCACCGUGGCUCUAAGACGCUGUCAGGAAAGCACGGAGGAUUGUUCGCGGCGGUCCCGGUCCAAAGGCAGAGCCUGCUGGCGGCUACGCCGGCCGCCGUGCAGUGCGGGCAGCGGAGCCCGCGCCCCCAGCGCCGCCGGGAGAGCCAGGGGAGGCGCCGCCGCAAACAGUGGUGUCGGGUUACAGCCUCGGAGCCGCGCCGAGCGCGCCUAACUGGCUUGAUCGAGUGACUGGCUUCAUAAUUACAUUGCUGAUUUGUUAGGGAAGGCUUUGUCUUACUUACCAAUUAGCAUGGAUGUUACUGCAGGGACCUCAUCCUGGAUGAGCUUGGGUUUUUCUUAAAAAAAAAAAAAAAAAAGCUUCCCCGAUCCGGGCAGCUUUAGGGGUUCAGUUGCUAACCCUCCCUUGUCUUCUGGGAGUCCUCACCCUGUCUGUAAACACGCAGAGGCUUUCUCCCCUUUGGAAUUUUGCCCGUGUUUCUGGCAUUCCCGCGGCCAGAGGCAGCCACUUUGGGGUCUGCAGGCGGCCUGUGGGAGUGCUGACCCCACACCGCCUCCUGGAGGCUCAUCACCCCCGUUUUUUUUGGGGGGGGCAGCUGCACCGGCCACAGCGCAUAGCUCACCCCCGCUGGCAGACCCUUACAGGCACCCCCCUUUCUGUCAGCCCUCUCCCAGAUGUGCCAGCACCACCACCUACCGUGUCCCUGCAGGGUGGCCUUUCUGUUCUCCUGGUGGGUUCUGUUGUUAUUUGGGGGAGGGAGGGUGUUAAAAGCAUAGGCGUUAUCAGAUUUGUGAGUCCUGGGUGUUUUUUAAGAUGUAAUAUUUUCACAGUGUGGAAAGUUGUCUGAGCGAACCUGGCUCCCCUGAGUGGAAGGGGGAGGGGCCUUUCCUUCCUGCCUGGGAGCUGCUGUGUGACCGCCAGACAGGAGAGCCAUGUCUCAGAGUUCGCCCACAGCUGGUGGGAGAUGUCCAGGUCACCACCUCAAAAGCAGGAUCCAGAGCACAUUAUCGUAAGGCAGGUGUACAGGAUGAGGAGAGGAGAGAUUGAGAAUACUCUGUGUUUCAGAAGUUGUCUCACCAGCAUUUCUGGCCAGCCUCUCUUCUGCUUUUGGAAGGCUGUCACCCACUCAGUGGUUUUGCCAUGGGGCACUCCUUUCUUCUUGCACUGCCCCCAAAAGAAACUGAAAGAAUGUGUGUGUUUGCACUUAAAGGACUUUGGGUUUGGAGGCUCAGGAUGUCAGAGUGAGGAAGUAGCCUCUGCUAGCCUCUUUGAAGACACUCUGUCACACAUCUUAGCUUCUUUUCUUUUCAAACCAGGUAGAUCCAUACGGAAAAAUCAUCAUUCUGAAUCAUUGGCAUUGCCAUAAAUGCCUCGUUUUUAUGAUUUUUAGUGUCAGUGUGGGCACAUCUGGACUUUUCAGCAACCAGCAGUCACACCAGUGAUCACACCGGAUGGUGUACUUGAGGAGAUUGGGGACCCCUUGGAUUAGGAGCCUUUAACUUGAGAGCUGUUAAUUAACUAGUGACACAGGCAUAGGGAAACGCGCACAGGUCCUAAGUGUGCAGGCCAGUGACUCAUCCCAAAGCAGGCACCCGGGAGCCAAGGGCCCCACUACUAACACCCUUCCCCCACGGCAGACACCAGGGCUGAGUUCUGCCUUGUUAACUGCCUGCUGAGACAACACAGCACUUCAAUCCUGAAGCCUGCUACACUCCUGAGAGGGGAAAGCCCUGGAUUUCUAGUUGUCACUCACUAGUCCAAAAGGAAAUUGGAACAAGCUCUUGAAAAUAUACACAAGAUACAAACCAUCAUGCCUUGAGGUGUUUUGGAGUAGUGGCUUUCGGGAUCUCCCGUCUGCCCCACCUCUGUGUGCGGACAGGCAUCCCUCCACCUGAGUGGAUGAGCUGAGCUGGGAGUCAUUUCCAUUCCCUCCACUUGCCUCCCCUCUUAGCUGCCUCUUUGAUCAUGUGGUCAGUCAUACCUUUCCCCAGUCAUUUCCUCCCUUCAGAAACUGGGACUAAGCUACCCAUUUUGACCUUCUUUUACGCCUUUUGGAGCAUUAAUUCCCUUGGACACUGAGUAGGGUGAGGUAAAGGGUUUUCCUUCUCUCUGGGGUGAUAGCUAUUUGGGGGCAUGAACUGAGAAAGCAAAAUGCAGUCUUUUGCAUCUUUUUUUGACCCGCGCUGAGUCAGAAAGCCAGCCCUCGUGGUGAGCAGAGAAGGGCUCCCAGUGUGGGCCUCUCACAAGCCCCAGUGGAGAUGCUGCUCGUACAGGCCACACAGCCCCUCCAUGCAUGUGUCUGUCAGUGGCCACCGGGCUCUGGGCCUCUAGGAAGCACGUGUGGCCACAGAGGGCUGCACGUUAAAGCAGUGGGUUUCGUUGUUGUUAGUGGGAAUGUUAGAAGCGGUGCUUUGCAAAAGUAGAUUUAAUAUGCUUAAUUUUAAAAUUAUAACAUUUAUGUUGACAGUUCAAAUAACAUUAAAGGAGAGUGAGUUUUAAAAAUUUUUCCAAGGCAUAGCUUUUAAAUAAUUGAAAAACAUUGAGUUUAAGAGAACUUUUUUGAUUGAUUGGUUUUAUGGGGGUUUUUUUUUUUUUUUGAUGUUGUAUUUUUUCCCUUAAUGCUUUAAAAAUGUAGAAGCUAUGAAAUGCUCUCUUGUAACACAUAGGUACUAUUUUAGUUUCUCUUUGGACAUUGGGCAUAAGGCCUCACUGCCAUUCACUCUGUGAUCACAGCAAGAAGAAUCUAGGCCCCAGUGAGCGGGUGGGAUCUGAUAUACCAGUCUGAGAAGCUGAGCUUUAUCAUUAAAAUUGAGCUGAAGACAUCUUAAUUCUGCAUGUAGUCUUUCUUUUUUAAUGUCAGUUGCCAUCACAAAAACAUUGCUCAUUCUUUUUUCCUUACCUGCUUAGGCACAAAUAGGGAAGCCCUUCGGACUCAAAUUUGAAUAAAGAUAUUCUCAGGCUUAAAUAUGAAAUAGCCGGAUGGGGAAAAAAGGAAGUUGUAGUUCUUGAAAUGAGGUCCCCAUUUCAAAUGAGGUCCUGGAAACUUGGAAAUGCAGAUCUUGGGCCUCCACACCAGACGGACUGAAUGAGAAUCUGGGAUUGUUGGGGGUGGCAUCAUUCUGUGUUAACUAGCCCCAGCAGCGCGUCUGAUGCUCACCCAGGUUUGAGAACUGAAGAUUGAGAGAAGCAUCCCUGCCCAAACUGUGUGCCUCGGGUCCUGACACAUCUCCUUACCCAGGGCCUGCCCUGUACAGCUGUGCCCUCUGAGGUUCGUUCAGCCCUCGCCGUCGUCAUACCCUCCCUCCCAUGCCAAGUUUACACUGAGAGGCAGAGACACACAUCUCUGUCUUUGUUUUGCAGUCCUUCUCUGGCUGUCCCCUUGGUGUCUUUUCUCAUUCCUUCCAUUUACUAUUUAUCCAGUGACUGUUUCUGGAGCAUCUUCUAUGUGUCAGGGACUGCCUUAUCCUGAGGAUAUAGAGAUGAAAGGAACAGGCUGAAACCUUCAGAGAGCUUACCAUCUGGGGUGGGAAACAGACUGAGAGACAAUCCUGCCUUCAAUAUAAACCUCAAAUCCUAUCUCCAGAAGUCCCCUGGUCACCCCGUCUGUACUGAUCUCUUAGACUCCUUACUGUGGGAGUCAUUCAGAAUCUGGAAUUGCAAACCUCCAAGUAGGUAAUAUGUUUCUCCUGCUUCUCUGGUUCUUUCUCUUCUGAGGACUCUCCUAGUGACAUGUUACUUUUUUGAUCAACUGCCCAAGCAUAUUAUAGCUUUUGAGGGCAGGGUCCUCCGUAAUGAAAGCAGCACAAUUGAAAGCCAGGUUUCUUAUCUGGAGAGUUUUAUUCGCUAGUAAACUUCCUGGAAAACUCCAGCAGAGAAGUGUUCAUUUGUAGGGCUACCCAUGAGUUUUGUUCUCUGUUUUCAAAACUUAGAUUGCUGCAGUUCAUACUUGCCAAAAGUUAUGUUAAGUAAAUCAGAAUGCCAGGAGUUUGUUUCUAACAAGGUUAUUGGGGAGGGAGGGUGUUUUAUCUCGAACCUUAUAUUAAGAGCCAAUGAAUAUUCAAUAGAAGAGUGGCUGUGGUUAGUUUUAGGCCCCUCUGGGUGAGCAGGGAAGGGAGGGAGCACCCACCUCACUCCUCCACUUGGGGGUCUCUAACCAGCUCUAAAAGCUCAGGGUCCCUUUUGGGCCUUUGACCGAAAGAUUCGAUAGAAGACAUGGGCUUUGGGCCUGGGUCUUCACAAGCCAAGGGAGGGGGCGGAGUGGGGUGCCAUCCCUGGGGGUGGCUUGGAAACUGACUUGUCACAAGCCCCUCCUGUCGGUGAACUACAGACUACCGUCCUGUGUCCCGUUCCACCGCCAAGGGGCCUCUCAGGCAGGAACAGCAGACACCCCCCUCCUGUUACCUUGAAGCCCUUAAUGAGAUCCAGCUACUGCUCCAUCUUCACGCUGCAGCCAAGUGAGGCCUUUUAAAACGUCACGUGCCUCUCCAGUGGCCUGAAGAGCUGUUGCGGUUGUCGUAGAGUGCCCCAGGAAAAGGCUUUGGGCAUCCUGGCCCUCAGGUUCUUGAGAGGCUUGUCUUUCCUUUGAAUUGUGCCUGCUCCAGCAUGUGGCAUUCACACAGCACCAAGCGAGGGUCCUUCUCACCUCCCUCCCACUUCUAGGAGCUGGAGGCCUCUUCUGAAAGUGGGCAGACAGGACUCUCAACCGUGUGUUAAGCAAACUUGGGGAAAACUUUAAUUUUUUACAAAUUUUAAAUUUAAAAAAAUUCUUUUAAUGUUAACGUUCUAAGUAAGAAUGUGGAUUAGAUUUUAUUGUGUUGUUUUUUACUCCUUUCUGCAAAAAAUGUAGCUAGAAUUCAGAUUACAAAUCAGGAUUGUGUGCAUUUUGCAAUCUUACUGGGUGUGUAGAGCAGGCUUGCCUCAUAAAAUGAAAUAGAAAAAUGAAGGCAAACCUGCUUUGAGGCGCACUCUGUCAUGGGUCCUUAUUUACACCUUUGAGAAGCAUCCAAGAUUCGAUUCGUCUCGCCUGUUCCUGCCCAUGGAUCUUGCUUACACAGGCCCUCCUCCAUCCCCUUCCAGAGAGCGGCAUGAAUGUCUUAUCAGGCUUUCCCUAAAUCAUUAGGUUUAUCACACAGCUGUGACCAGCUAGAUCAUUCUAAUUAGAAAUUAGGCACUUCUCAUGUUGAAAUCUCUCCGAAAAGUAUCUCCAUAGAUCUCUCUCAGCAAAUGGGAAUUCUGCUGAAUGCCUGUAGUACGAUAUGCUUUUUAAAUAUCUAAGUUCUCUGUGCUCGGUAAUUAUUUCUAGAGAAGUGCGAGUUAUUGAAAAAGUCCUGUUGUUUUUUUUCUGGCAACAUGUCAGCUCUGUGUGAAUGACUAAAAGAAAGGAAAAGUCCACGUUGUCUUAACUAAGUGUUGCUUCUCCAGAAAACCAGUAAAAGUUUAAAGUGGCAGUGAGCUUACUGAUUUGUUCUGAGGUGUGUAUUUGGUUUACAUUUGGGGUGCUUCUCAAACUUUGGGAUGAAGGACCAUCUUGUUGGUGUUUUCCUCCUUUAUAGACUAAUACUUUAGUAAAACACGAUAAAAAUAAUUACUAGAAAAAUGAAAUGAGUACAAAGAUGUAAAAAUAAAAUCCUCAUUUAAAAAAAUGAAGUUUACAGACUUAUAAAUACUCUGUAAAUCUGCUAUAAAAGUUUCUAAACAAUACAGUAUCUCUACUUACCUCAUCAUGAACUAGUAGCUAUUUACAGACUGGCUCCAUCUAUGGACCACACUUUGAGAAACACAGUUUUAGAGUGUGUGUGUGCACUGUGUACUCUCGGCACGCGUUUGGAUGCAUUGGGUACAUUCAAAUUAUAGCAUAUAAUGUGGGUUAUAUAACAGCUUCAUAUGAUAAUUAAAUGCAUUUGGUGAGCUCUUUGGUAAAAAUGGAGUUUUUCUGGAAGUGACAUUCAAUACUUAAAUUGUAAACAAAUACAAAUAGUAUAUAUGUAAAUACUGUUAUCUGUUUUAAAACACAGUUGUCCAGUAAUACUUCUAAUGAAUAAAGUAGAAAGUGUUUUGUAAGUCACCUCUUCUUAGAUUCACACUCAAGUUUAAAUGGGCACAGAUAACUUUAGAUAGGAAAUGCAAAGUGUAUAUACAAAGUGUAUGAGACUUCUAGCGCUGAACAGUACAGUGUUUGUCAUGUGAAGCAUUAGAUAAGCGAGUUGUUAUUAUCAUACCUUCCUUGCCUCAGAGAACAAUUAAUUACAGGACUGAUCUUUGGUCCUAGUGAUCCACAGCCAUUUUCUUACUGUUUACAGAGUGAGGGAAAGUGUUUCCUACAAGUAACUCCACAUUCUUUAUGAGCAUUAGCAAAUUCUUAGGCUGAUUCUGACGCGAUGGAUUGCAGCUGUCUUCAUCCUUCUCUCCUGGAGACUGAGGCCCAUGAAGGCAGUCACCCCGAGUGGGACUUGUGCUCCGGGCUCUGUGUCCACCUGCAUGUCUGUCGGCCUGGCGGGGCAGCGUUGGCCUUCUUUCGCAAAGCCUUGGGAGGAAGUUCUGGGAAGUUUUAUUAUGGUUAGCCUCCUUCCUUUAGGAUGAGACUCCUGAUUGAAAAUGAUAAUGAGGUGUAGGAGAAGAUGUUCAGCCCCUUGAAGACCAGGCGUUAUUCCUGGCAGAGUGCCCAAGACAGCAGAGAUGCGGGAUGAGUUAAAGGAUUGCAGGGGGCCGGCCAUUCAGUAAAAGGCAAGUCGCCUUUAGAAGAAAAACUGGAUCACUACAAAGCACUUUCUUGUAUGUGACAAUUUCAGAAAGAGUGAGUGGCCUUGAGAGCAUUAACACGCACCUGUGGGUGAGCGCUGUAGGUGGGGGAGAGAGCAGGCACUGGCCUGGCUUGCUUAUUAGAAGCAUGUCUCCUGGUCUGAACAACAGCCUAAGGACAGCUUUCUUGAAGGUUACAAAGUGAGGUCUGUGAGUCAGAGGCCGGUGGACUUGGGAUUGCUGUUUAGAUGGUAGAACUUCUGAGAGGAAGGGCCACUCUCCAGAAGGCACGGGCAGCUGAGGGUGUCUUCACUCAGGCCAGAGCACUCGAGGCAGGCAGGACUUAAAAUCCAACCCGUUCCCCAAAGCUCAUGGUCUGAGAUGGGAGAUCGUUGUUUCUUUGAAAUCCCUGCUGGAAUCACAGCAGGUAUUUUGUUAAGAAAUGUGUACUCCAACAGCAAUGCUCAUAAUCCGAGCAAAUUUCUUUUAAAUUAGUCCGGUUGCACUCAGGCAUGGCUGCAUGUGAUGAAAUUGAGCCAUGGAAAAACUUGGGCUGGGAAAUCCACAUUCCUCCACUUGAUUCUAGAGAGAAAAGCAGUGGCAGCUCCAUCACUGUGGUCAUUUAACACAGUCCAAGCGCUUCGCCACAUGUCACCAAACAGGCAGAAAGGCUCUGUGUGUGACAAGGAAGGAAACAGCGUUUUGAAAGCACACGCAGUUCUACCAAAAUUGUGCAUGUUCCCCUUUCUCCAGCGGGGUUCUUUUCAUCAUUCCAAGUGUGUUCAAGCUGUGCUCUAUGACACCUUUACCUGUUUGGGUCAUAGCAUUGUCAGUGUUUUCUUGGGCUUUAAAAAUAAAUCUCUUUGGGGGAGGGAAGUUGAACCUGCAUGGUAACACGAUAGGCAUGUGAAUGCAAGCACACCAGCAGAAAGUCAGAAUCCUGGUUUCCAUGGUAACGUUUAACUUGUCUGUGUUGUACACAUUUCUCAAGAAAUACAUUCAACAGACUCCCCAGUGAUAAAAAUUGCUCCACCGGCACACAAAGGUAGAUUUCCCAAUGAAUUCCUCUGUUGUAACCAGCCCUGGGCAGGGAACUCGAGUCUGAGUCCUGCCCUCCUCCUCAUCUGCGUCUUCUUUUUUUCGGUGGAAAUUCGUUUCUGUGGGAUUGAUUCCAUCUCCUUC